GGGGGUUCGAUUCCCCCGUAGGGAAUUCCUUUUUCUCCUUACUACCUCCACAAGAAGAAGGAUCCUAGAGUA